rnacentral:rRNA from 1 species
GACAGAGGGUGCAAACGUUGUUCGGAAUUACUGGGCGUAAAGCGCGUGUAGGCUGCUCCGAAAGUCAGGUGUGAAAGCCCCGGGCUCAACCUGGGAAGUGCACUUGAAACCUCGGAGCUUGAAUGCCGGAGAGGGUAGCGGAAUUCUCGGUGUAGAGGUGAAAUUCGUAGAUAUCGAGAGGAACACCGGUGGCGAAGGCGGCUACCUGGACGGCUAUUGACGCUGAGACGCGAAGCGUGGGGAGCAAACAGG